rnacentral:rRNA from 1 species
UGGGGAAUAUUGGGCAAUGGGCGAAAGCCUGACCCAGCAACGCCGCGUGAGGGAAGAAGGGUUUCGGCUCGUAAACCUCUGUCCUAUGGGACGAAGGAAGUGACGGUACCAUAGGAGGAAGCCCCGGCUAACUACGUGCCAGCAGCCGCGGUAAUACGUAGGGGGCGAGCGUUGUCCGGAAUGAUUGGGCGUAAAGGGCGCGUAGGCGGCCCGUUAAGUCUGGAGUGAAAGUCCUGCUUUCAAGGUGGGAAUUGCUUUGGAUACUGAUGGGCUGGAGUGCAGGAGAGGAAAGCGGAAUUACCGGUGUAGCGGUGAAAUGCGUAGAGAUCGGUAGGAACACCAGUGGCGAAGGCGGCUUUCUGGACUGAAACUGACGCUGA